rnacentral:rRNA from 1 species
AACGAACGCUGGCGGCAUGCCUAACACAUGCAAGUCGAACGAGACCUUCGGGUCUAGUGGCGCACGGGUGCGUAACGCGUGGGAACCUGCCCUUAGGUUCGGAAUAACUCCCCGAAAGGGGUGCUAAUACCGGAUAAUGUCUUCGGACCAAAGAUUUAUCGCCUGUGGAUGGGCCCGCGUUGGAUUAGCUAGUUGGUAGGGUAAAAGCCUACCAAGGCGACGAUCCAUAGCUGGUCUGAGAGGAUGAUCAGCCACACUGGGACUGAGACACGGCCCAGACUCCUACGGGAGGCAGCAGUGGGGAAGAUUGGACAAUGGGCGAAAGCCUGAUCCAGCAAUGCCGCGAGAGUGAUGAAGGGGUUAGGGUUGUAAAGCUCUUUUACCCGGGAUGAUAAUGACAGUACCGGGAGAAUAAGCUCCGGCGAACUCCGU